rnacentral:tRNA from 1 species
GGGGGAUUAGCGCAAUCGAUAGAGCAUCUGAUUUGCAUUCAGAAGGUUGUGGGUUUGAGUCCCAUAUCCUCCACCA